UGGGGAAUAUUGCACAAUGGGCGCAAGCCUGAUGCAGCAACGCCGCGUGAACGAUGAAGGCCUUCGGAUCGUAAAGUUCUGUUGCAGGGGAAGAUAAUGACGGUACCCUGGGAGGAAGCCCCGGCUAACUACGUGCCAGCAGCCGCGGUAAUACGUAGGGGGCUAGCGUUAUCCGGAUUUACUGGGCGUAAAGGGUGCGUAGGUGGUCUUUCAAGUCGGUGGUUAAAGGCUACGGCUCAACCGUAGUUAGCCUCCGAAACUGGAAGACUUGAGUGCAGGAGAGGAAAGUGGAAUUCCCAGUGUAGCGGUGAAAUGCGUAGAUAUUGGGAGGAACACCAGUAGCGAAGGCGGCUUUCUGGACUGCAACUGACACUGAGGCACGAAAGCGUGGGUAGCAAACAGG
rnacentral:rRNA from 1 species